rnacentral:lncRNA from 1 species
AGAGCUGCGGUCAGGCCACCGGUGUCCUCGUCCAUCAAUCGCUAACCAGGUAGGUGAGCCUUGGGCCAGGGCCCCCAGCCUCUCAGAAGCCGUGUGUGUCUCUCGGUCCGGAGGAUGGGCUCACUGAGCGGCCGUAUGUGUGGGGAGUGUGAGUACCCCCACCCUCUUCUACCUCAAGCUCCCAGCACAGGCCCCGAGGGAGAGCAGACCCUCAGGAAGGGUUAGUUUUCAAGAAGUGCAUCUCCCUGUACUAAAUCUCUUAAUAUCUCUCUGCCACUGGUCAUGCUUCUUGGGUUGAGCUCUAACUGACACAUAUACCAUUAGCUCCAUCCCAAAGCCAGGCCCUGUCCUGAGAAGUAGGGUCUCCCUUGUGACCACUGAAGAAAGUCCUGAGCUUUGUGCUGGAAGCGGACCCUGCCUAUGCCCUGUCCAAGCCUCCUCAGCCCUGACAUUUAAGGGCAGGUGGGCUAGGCUUCACCUGCCAGCACCACCCUCUGCGACAGGCCUUCCUCUGGCCAUAGGUGCCUGUUCUGCCCACGUUAGAGCAAGCCAGAGUAUUGGGGACUCUUAAUGCCUCCCAGAAGUAGCCCUCAACCGAUGAUUCAUGAAAGUUGGGAAGAGUCUGGCUUCUGGUUAAAAAUCUGUAUGUCAUCCAUGGGCAGUUACAACGGCUUUACACAACAGGCCCCCAAGGGGAUCGGGGGAGCUGCACCCCCAACCCCAGGCUUGGGACACAGCCAGAGCUUUGCAUGCAAUCUCUGAAGGGAGUUGCUGUAAAAUGCUCAGGCCCCCAGGCUGGCCAAACCCUUUACCUAUUU